rnacentral:rRNA from 1 species
UACGUAGGUGGCAAGCGUUGUCCGGAUUUACUGGGCGUAAAGGGCGUGCAGGCGGUUUGUUAAGUGCAGGGUGAAAGCUCCCGGUUCAACUGGGAGAGGUCCUUGCAUACUGGCAGACUUGAGGGAGGCAGAGGAAAGUGGAAUUCCCGGUGUAGUGGUGAUAUGCGUAGAUAUCGGGAGGAACACCUGUGGCGAAGGCGGCUUUCUGGGCCUUACCUGACACUGAGACGCGAAAGCGUGGGGAGCGAACCGG